GACGAACGCUGGCGGCGUGCUUAACACAUGCAAGUCGAACGGAAAGGCCCUGCUUUUGUGGGGUGCUCGAGUGGCGAACGGGUGAGUAACACGUGAGUAACCUGCCCUUGACUUUGGGAUAACUUCAGGAAACUGGGGCUAAUACCGGAUAGGAGCUCCUGCUGCAUGGUGGGGGUUGGAAAGUUUCGGCGGUUGGGGAUGGACUCGCGGCUUAUCAGCUUGUUGGUGGGGUAGUGGCCUACCAAGGCUUUGACGGGUAGCCGGCCUGAGAGGGUGACCGGCCACAUUGGGACUGAGAUACGGCCCAGACUCCUACGGGAGGCAGCAGUGGGGAAUAUUGCACAAUGGGCGGAAGCCUGAUGCAGCAACGCCGCGUGCGGGAUGACGGCCUUCGGGUUGUAAACCGCUUUCGCUCAUGACGAAGCUUUGUGUGACGGUAGUGGGUAAAGAAGCACCGGCUAACUACGUG
rnacentral:rRNA from 1 species